ACGUAGGAGGCGAGCGUUAUCCGGAUUUACUGGGCGUAAAGCGCGUGCAGGCGGUGCGAUAAGUCGUGCGUGAAAUCUCCCGGCUCAACCGGGAGGGUGCCUCGAAAACUGGCAGGCUUGAGGCAGGGAGAGGGAUGUGGAAUUCCCGGUGUAGUGGUGAAAUGCGUAGAUAUCGGGAGGAACACCAGUGGCGAAGGCGGCAUCCUGGCCCUGUCCUGACGCUCAGGGGCGAAAGCGUGGGGAGCAAACGG
rnacentral:rRNA from 1 species